UGUUAGCGGCGGACGGGUGAGUAACACGUGGAUAACCUACCUAUAAGACUGGGAUAACUUCGGGAAACCGGAGCUAAUACCGGAUAACAUUUGGAACCGCAUGGUUCUAAAGUGAAAGAUGGUUUUGCUAUCACUUAUAGAUGGACCCGCGCCGUAUUAGCUAGUUGGUAAGGUAACGGCUUACCAAGGCGACGAUACGUAGCCGACCUGAGAGGGUGAUCGGCCACACUGGAACUGAGACACGGUCCAG
rnacentral:rRNA from 1 species